AUCUUUUUCCGGUUCAUAAGCAUGAUUGGGUGUUCACACAUUUGUGUGUCAUGUGCCUCCCUUAAAUCUUGUUAUGCAUUUGGCACAUUACCCAUCUGAUU